rnacentral:ncRNA from 20 species
CUUAUGUGAGAAAGCGACGGUUCCUACAGCCGAAAGGCGAAGGGAUUAAUAGGGAACAUGGUGCGGGCGAUCUUUUUCGUCCAAUGCCUUGGCUGCCCCCGCAACUGUAAGCGGAUUGUUGUUCAUCCCAGUGACGCUUGAAGGCGUCAUGCCACUGUUUUUUUCGGAAUGCGGGAAGGCAGAUGAGGGACGCAAAUCCGUGAGCCAGGAGACCUGCCGUCAAAAUGGAAACCAUC